AUUCCUCUGUGGGCAAGGACGCAGAGCUGAGCUGAGGGGGAGUCACGCAGACUCUGGGACGGCAGGGCGCUCCCCAGACCCAGCCGGCCCUCCGGACACAUUGCCUGAGGAAAGAGGCUCCAUAGCCAUUCUCCCAGGCCCUUGUAUAUAUUUCUUUUUAAACUGCCUUAUUUGGAAAAUGAAUAACAUGCCAUAAAACAGAGCCUCAGGAUUCUUUUCCAUCUUUCCUGUCCCUAAUAUGCUUCUGAAUUUCAAAACAGAUUUCCGUCAUGACCCAAGCAGGCCAGAGGUCACGCUUUUGCCAAUGACCUUGGGAUGUACCACUUUCUCCCUUCAUAACUUCCUAUGAGGAAUGGAGGUAUUCUGAAGCUGCAUGGCUCACAUAAGGUCACAAAGCUGGUCAGUAACAGAGUGUCUCAGUCUUUGGGGGCUGCUCUCAGAAAAUACCACAGACCGAGUGGCUUAUAAACAACAGAAGUUUACUGCUCACGGUUCAAGAAGCUGGAAGUCCAAGAUCAGAAUGCCACCACGGUCAGGUUCUGGGGAAGGCCCUCUCUGGGUCGAGUGUGGCUCACUUCUCACUGUGUCUUCACAUGGCCGAAGGGAACUACAACCUGUGGGGAAGGCAGGUGCAUAUGCAACGGGCCGAGAUGCAUCCAAGUGGAGCGGAAGCUAUGUGUCAGUGAGCGCUGAGGAAAACACAGCUCUAAACAAA